AGAAGCAAUAAUGUUAAUAUGAGUAACAAGAAGACUCUUCUCCCUGCAUGAGUGUAUAUCAGAACGAAUGACGCACUGGUAGUUAACAAAUACAAAUAUAACUAACCAACUAAAAUCUUAAUAUAAUUGUUAACCCAACACAGGCAUGCAACUAAGGAAAGAUUAAAAGAAGUAAAAGGAACUCGGC
rnacentral:rRNA from 1 species